rnacentral:rRNA from 1 species
CGCGCAGGCGGUCGUUCAAGUCGAGUGUGAAAGCCCCCGGCUCAACUGGGGAGGGUCACUCGAUACUGAUCGACUCGAAGGCAGGAGAGGGAAGUGGAAUUCCCGGUGUAGUGGUGAAAUGCGUAGAUAUCGGGAAGAACACCAGUGGCGAAGGCGACUUCCUGGCCUGUUCUUGACGCUGAGGCGCGAAAGCUAGGGGAGCAAACGG